UACGUAGGUGGCAAGCGUUAUCCGGAAUUAUUGGGCGUAAAGAGCGCGCAGGUGGUUGAUUAAGUCUGAUGUGAAAGCCCACGGCUUAACCGUGGAGGGUCAUUGGAAACUGGUCGACUUGAGUGCAGAAGAGGGAAGUGGAAUUCCAUGUGUAGCGGUGAAAUGCGUAGAGAUAUGGAGGAACACCAGUUGCGAAGGCGGCUCUCUGGACUGUAACUGACGCUGAGGCACGAAAGCGUGGGGAGCAAACAGGAUUAGA
rnacentral:rRNA from 1 species